rnacentral:tRNA from 1 species
AGGGUUGUAGUUAAUAAUAACAUUUGAAUUGCACUCAAAAAGUACUGAAUACAGUCUGCCUUA